rnacentral:rRNA from 1 species
GAUGAACGCUGGCGGCGUGCCUAACACAUGCAAGUCGAACGGAGUUACGAGAGCUUGCUUUUGUAACUUAGUGGCGAACGGGUGAGUAAAUGCGUGAGCAACCUGCCCUUCAGAGGGGGACAACAGUUGGAAACGGCUGCUAAUACCGCAUGAUGUAUUUAGGAGGCAUCUCCUGAAUACCAAAGGAGAAAUCCGCUGAAGGAUGGGCUCACGUCUGAUUAGCUAGUUGGUGAGGUAACGGCUCACCAAGGCUGCGAUCAGUAGCCGGACUGAGAGGUUGAACGGCCACAUUGGGACUGAGAUACGGCCCAGACUCCUACGGGAGGCAGCAGUGGGGAAUAUUGGGCAAUGGGCGAAAAGCCUGAUGCAGCAACGCCGCGUGAGGGAAGACGGUUUUCGGAUUGUAAACCUCUGUUCUAAGUGACGAAGAAUGACGGUAGCUUAGGAGGAAGCCCCGGCUAAACUAACGUGCCAGCAGCCGCAGU